CCUACGGGAGGCAGCAGUGGGGAAUAUUGGACAAUGGGGGCAACCCUGAUCCAGCCAUGCCGCGUGUGUGAAGAAGGCCCUCGGGUUGUAAAGCACUUUCAGUGAGGAAGAACGCCUGGUGGUUAAUACCCAUCAGGAAAGACAUCACUCACAGAAGAAGCACCGGCUAACUCCGUGCCAGCAGCCGCGGUAAUACGGAGGGUGCGAGCGUUAAUCGGAAUUACUGGGCGUAAAGCGCGCGUAGGUGGCUUGAUAAGCCGGUUGUGAAAGCCCCGGGCUCAACCUGGGAACGGCAUCCGGAACUGUCAAGCUAGAGGGCAGGAGAGGAAGGUAAGAUUCCCGGUGUAGCGGUGAAAUGCGUAGAGAACGGGAGGAAUACCAGUGGCGAAGGCGGCCUUCUGGACUGACACUGACACUGAGGUGCGAAAGCGUGGGUAGCAAACAGGAUUAGAUACCCUGGUAGUC
rnacentral:rRNA from 1 species